CAGUUCAUCGACCACCAAAGAGGCUGCCUUUGCUAAGGGAGUUAUCAGGCUGGAGUACAACAGUGUGAUCUCAAUUUUUUUUUUUUUUUGUGGGGGGUACAGACAGAAUCAUACUAUGUUGCCCAGGCUGGUCUCGAACUCCUGGGCUCCAGUGAUCCUCCCGUGUUGGCCUCCCAAAGUGCUAGGGCUACAGAUGUAAUCCACCAUGCCCAGUCCAUUUCAACCCUUAAAUGCUACACUGGUAGACCAUUUCCCUAGAUUCCAGGCAGCAUGCUCAAGAGUGAGAUGAGUCCAUCCCAAACACAGGACGAGUGAACCAGGAUGAGUAUGCUGCCCUGCAAAGGUUCUCUGUAAACUUCAGAGCACCACACAGACAUGACUCACUUGAGUAAUCCAUCUAGCCUGAGCUAGAGCUCAGAUGUCAGAGAUCCUCUGGGACUCUUUGAAAUGCUAUCCAAAAAGAGAUCUCAAAAUAGAACUCCAAAUAAUUAUCUCCCAACAGACAAGUCAAAGGCUAAUAUGAUCACUGAACCCAAUCAAAUUCAGGAUAUUACAAACCUACAGCCAGAAGUGUACUCAAAAUAUAAUUAUUUCCCUUACCUCAUCUUCGAUUUUAUCUGCAUCGGUUGUUGGUCGAUACGCAUCCUUGUUGGGAUGAAGAGCAGCCACAAAUUCAUAAUAAUCAAUGUAACCAUCCCCAUCUCGGUCGAAAAUGUCAGCCACAGCAGUCAUUUCUAACUUGGUGGUGGGGAACUCUGGAGAAAAGGAAUCAUAUUUUGAAACAUUAAGAGGGGUAUUUGUUUGGUUGGCGGUUAUAGAAAUUUUUUUUUUUUUUUUUUUUUUUUNNNNNNNNNNNNNNNNNNNNNNNNNNNNNNNNNNAGUGCAGUGGUGCAAUCUCGGCUCACUGCAACUUCCGUCUCCCUGGUUCAAGUGAUUCUCCUGCCUCAGCUUCCAGAGUAGCUGGGAAUACAAGCGCCUGUCAUCAGGCCCGGCUAAUUUUUUUUGUAUUUUUAGUAGAGACAAGGUUUUGCCAUGUUGGCCAGGCUGGUCUUGAACUCCUGGCCUCAAGUGAUCCACCCAUCUUGGCCUCCCAAAGUGCUGGGAUUACAGGCGUGAGCCACCACGCCUGGCCAGAAAUACUUCUUAAGAGCAAAAAAAUUUAUGUCUUGAUUUUUCCUGAAAAGUAAUACAUAUCCACUUAUAGACUCCCCUACCCCAAAUGCAACGAAAAAAGGUAAUAUUCCCCAUUUCAAAUAUACCAAAAGGCAUAAACAUAAUAUUACAACCACCCACAGUCCUACCACUCAACUCAAGAAUAUACUCAUCCACCCCACAAUUAUUGGAUAUUUAGAUUAUUUCAGAAUAGUGACAGUUUGGAAUAGCAUAAAGUUUUCCUAUGUUUAGAUUAUUGUCUUAGAUUCUAAACAAAUUGCUAUACAAAGGGA
rnacentral:lncRNA from 1 species